rnacentral:rRNA from 1 species
UACGUAGGGUGCAAGCGUUGUCCGGAAUUAUUGGGCGUAAAGAGCUCGUAGGCGGUUUGUCGCGUCGGCUGUGAAAACCCGGGGCUCAACUCCGGGCCUGCAUUCGAUACGGGCAGACUAGAGUUCGGUAGGGGAGACUGGAAUUCCUGGUGUAGCGGUGAAAUGCGCAGAUAUCAGGAGGAACACCGAUGGCGAAGGCAGGUCUCUGGGCAUUAACUGACGCUGAGGAGCGAAAGCAUGGGGAGCGAACAGG